AAGCUGAGUUAAUUAAGGAGCUA
rnacentral:siRNA from 1 species